CGAUCGAGAACACAGGCUUGUAGAUAUCAACAUUUCAGCAAUAUCAGCUAAAACCGAGACCCAAAAAUAUCGUUUCAACGAACAGAAAGGACAGAGAAAAGAUACUCACGGGACAUGUCAGACGCUGUUUCAACAAAGAUAAUAUGCAAGUAAUUAUCAAUUUAAUAUUUCACACUCAAUUUCUAACAGAGAAGCAGUAAAACUUCAAACAUAA